UAUCAGAGUGGGACUAAGCCAUGCGAGUCAACGCCGAAAGGCGUGGCAUACGGCUCAGUAACACGUAGUCAACAUGCCCAAAGGACGUGGAUAACCUCGGGAAACUGAGGAUAAACCACGAUAGGCCAAGGUUUCUGGAAUGAGCCAUGGCCGAAAUCUAUAUGGCCUUUGGAUUGGACUGCGGCCGAUCAGGCUGUUGGUGAGGUAAUGGCCCACCAAACCUGUAACCGGUACGGGCUUUGAGAGAAGGAGCCCGGAGAUGGGCACUGAGACAAGGGCCCAGGCCCUAUGGGGCGCAGCAGGCGCGAAACCUCUGCAAUAGGCGAAAGCUUGACAGGGUUACUCUGAGUGAUGCCCGCUAAGGGUAUCUUUUGGCACCUCUAAAAAUGGUGCAGAAUAAGGGGUGGGCAAGUCUGGUGUCAGCCGCCGCGGUAAUACCAGCACCCCGAGUU
rnacentral:rRNA from 1 species